rnacentral:misc_RNA from 1 species
UACUCUCAACCCCUGGGGUCUUUUACACGGACCACCUUGGGCUUGGAUCAUGGACGCUGCCGGCCCCCCUCGGGGGUGUGGCUCGUCUGAAAUACAUGAGCUGACCUGUCUGCGAACAGCACGGUUUGACUCGGCGUAAUAAAUCCGUUUUUCGUCGGGGACACCCUUCGCGGGGUGGCCGGGCUCGCGGUCUUCGGGUUGCUUACAAUCGAAUAGUCCCAUCUAU